rnacentral:lncRNA from 1 species
CCGUAAUAUGUAGAGCUUUCUACAUUUAUAUAAGAAAGAUAAUGUCUUUCUACAUUUCUUGUUGCUUAAAUUAUAAAAUGUGUUAAUUUUUUUAUAAAAAAAUACAUUUUAGAAAUUUGACCAGGUAAUCUAAGGUUUUUUUCUCAAUUAGUCGAAUAUUAUGGAAUGUUUUUAUGUGUGCACGUGCGUGUUUGUGUUUUGGCAAAAAGAAAGAUAGUUGAGUUCUAAUCUCAAUAUGAUACAAUCUCAAUUAGACUUGUAACGCCCCAGAAUUUGGACCUUGAAGUAGUCGGCCAUGAGCGUGGGAACUCAUAAAAGUUUAUGUGUGCUUAAUAUGCAGAGCUUUCUACAUUUAUAUAAGUAAGAUACCAUCACAUAUUAUCAAAAUAUACAUUAACUUCGACACCUAGUGAGUCUUGAGCAGCCACGAUUCCAAGGAUUAACAACUUCUUGGAGAAGGCGACGGUAGGAAACAAGACCGGAGACCUCUGGAUGGUGGGUUGUCAUUGCUGCAUCAAUUUGGAUCACCUAUUCCAUCACCACUAUGCCAAUCAGAGCCAAACAAAUUAACCAUGUUUUCAUGUUUGAGACUCCCAUGAUUGGUCUUUGGUUUC